UCUACAUAUACAGAUAAUGCUUAACUUGUAGGGUACAGUUCAAAGGUCACAAUGCCCACAAAAAAUUCCCCACCUCCUUGGAAGUCAUCACUGCCUGCUCCACCCAAGCCAGAACCGUCCCAGUCCUUAUCAUGCCCUGCAUCAUCAACCCAUCCGAAGCUGUGAACUUCUUAAAGAGCUCCAACAGCUUAGCAGUGAGGUGUGAAGCUUGAGGAAAUACCAGCGUUUGAAGAGAUGGCCCACAGUUGGAGGCUGCAAGAGAGCAAGACACUGUCCCGUGGUGCAUGCUCAGCCCCUCUGGACUCGUCGGGACCCCAGCCAGAGCUUUCUGGACCAGGCCCAGAGGGAGUGGCCUGCCCAGCUGGCACAGCAGUCGGCCUUUACUGUGUGUUAGAUGAGGAAACUGAGGAAGAAGGAGGUGCAGUAGCUUGCCUGGAGUUUCACAUCUGACAGAGGAACAGGUCCCCAGUAAAGACACUAAAGAACCCCGGCAUGCGGGCCGCCCUGGGUGUGGGAAUGAACUGGAACAAGAGGCUCCUUUCCAUUUCUGGGCUUCUGUUUUC